rnacentral:tRNA from 1 species
GUCCCCGUAGUUCAACGGAUAGAACAUCUCCCUUCUAAGGAGAGGAUCGAGGUUCGAUUCCUCGCGGGGGCACCA